rnacentral:rRNA from 1 species
GAUGAACGCUGGCGGUAUGCUUAACACAUGCAAGUCGAACGGAGCUUUUCGGAGCUUAGUGGCGGACGGGCGAGUAACGCGUGAGAAUCUGCCUUUUGGACCGGGACAACUGCGGGAAACGGCAGCUAAGACCGGAUGUGCCUGCGGGUGAAAUAUUCAUAGCCAAAAGAGGAGCUCGCGACCGAUCAGCUAGUUGGUGGGGUAAGAGCCUACCAAGGCUGCGAUCGGUAGCCGGUUUGAGAGGACGACCGGCCACACUGGGACUGGGACACGGCCCAGACUCCUACGGGAGGCAGCAGUGGGGAAUUUCCCGCAAUGGGCGAAAGCCUGACGGAGCAAUACCGCGUGAGGGAGGAAGGCUCUUGGGUCGUAAACCUCUUUUCUCAGGGAAGAAGCAAUGACGGUACCUGAGGAAUCAGCAUCGGCUAACUCCGUGCCAGCAGCCGCGGUAAUACGGAGGAUGCAAGCGUUAUCCGGAAUGAUUGGGCGUAAAGCGUCCGCAGGUGGCACAUCAAGUCUGCUGUCAAAGCCCCCAGCUUAACUGGGAAGAGGCGGUGGAAACUGGUGAGCUAGAGAGCAAUAGGGGUAGAGGGAAUUCCCGGUGUAGCGGUGAAAUGCGUAGAGAUCGGGAAGAACACCAGUGGCGAAAGCGCUCUACUAGGUUGCAACUGACACUGAGGGACGAAAGCUAGGGGAGCGAAUGGGAUUAGAUACCCCAGUAGUCCUAGCCGUAAACGAUGGAUACUAGGCGUUUCUCGUAUCGACCCGAGGAGUGCCGGAGCCAACGCGUUAAGUAUCCCGCCUGGGGAGUACGCACGCAAGUGUGAAACUCAAAGGAAUUGACGGGGGCCCGCACAAGCGGUGGAGUAUGUGGUUUAAUUCGAUGCAACGCGAAGAACCUUACCAGGGCUUGACAUGUCUGGAACCCGUGGGAAACUAUGGGGUGCCGAAAGGAGCCAGAACACAGGUGGUGCAUGGCUGUCGUCAGCUCGUGUCGUGAGAUGUUGGGUUAAGUCCCGCAACGAGCGCAACCCUCGUGUUUAGUUGCCAUCAUUCAGUUGGGCACUCUAGACAGACUGCCGGUGACAAACCGGAGGAAGGUGGGGAUGACGUCAAGUCAGCAUGCCCCUUACGUCCUGGGCGACACACGUACUACAAUGCUACGGACAACGGGAAGCCAACCAGCGAUGGGGAGCAAAGCCCAGCAAACCGUAGCUCAGUUCAGAUCGCAGGCUGCAACUCGCCUGCGUGAAGGCGGAAUCGCUAGUAAUCGCCGGUCAGCCAUACGGCGGUGAAUACGUUCCCGGGCCUUGUACACACCGCCCGUCACACCAUGGAAGUUGGCCACGCCCGGAGUCAUUACUCUAACCCGCUUGCGGGAGGAGGAUGCCGAAGGCAGGGCUGAUGACUGGGGUGAAGUCGUAACAAGGUAGCCGUACCGGAAGGUGUGGCUGGAUCACCUCCUUUACAGGGAGACCAACUUCAGUAACCAGUAGAGAGUGAUCGGUGCCGAUUUUAUCGGCAAGGGCACUAACAACAAGCUGGAAACUGAGGACAUCCCGAGGUCGGACGACACUGACACAACAGCUCGAGUGCAGCAACGCUUUCAAACUAGAACUGGUUCGGUAGGUGCGAUACCACCAGUAGGGGCUAUUAGCUCAGGUGGUUAGAGCGCACCCCUGAUAAGGGUGAGGUCCCUGGUUCGAGUCCAGGAUGGCCCACCUCAAAGAAUUGAGAAUUUCCAGUUCGAGAUUCAAAAAAAUUGAAAAAUGCGAUUGGUCAAGUCAAAUCCAGUGGGAUGUGAUAGGCUAGUUAAGUUGAGCAAAAUUCAGCACUGUCUGCGAGUGGAGACAACUGCUGGAAAUUCUCCAGCGAGUACCUUGAAAACUGCAUAGAGACAAGAGAAACAGUCAGGUAGAAAACCAAGUAUUUGCGAAAUAACUGGUCAAGCGAAAUACAGCUGACGGUGGAU